rnacentral:rRNA from 1 species
CCUACGGGAGGCAGCAGUGAGGAAUAUUGGUCAAUGGACGAGAGUCUGAACCAGCCAAGUAGCGUGAAGGAUGACUGCCCUAUGGGUUGUAAACUUCUUUUAUAUGGGAAUAAAAUGUUCCACGUGUGGGAUUUUGUAUGUACCAUAUGAAUAAGGAUCGGCUAACUCCGUUCCAGCAGCCGCGGUAAUACGGAGGAUCCGAGCGUUAUCCGGAUUUAUUGGGUUUAAAGGGAGCGUAGGUGGAUUGUUAAGUCAGUUGUGAAAGUUUGCGGCUCAACCGUAAAAUUGCAGUUGAAACUGGCAGUCGUGAGUACAGUAGAGGUGGGCGGAAUUCGUGGUGUAGCGGUGAAAUGCUUAGAUAUCACGAAGAACUCCGAUUGCGAAGGCAGCUCACUGGACUGCAACUGACACUGAGGCUCGAAAGUGUGGGUAUCAAACAGGAUUAGAUACCCCAGUAGUC